ensembl:misc_RNA 7SK 7SK RNA
GGAUGUGAGGGCGAUCUGGCUGCGACAUCUGUCACCCCAUUGAUCACAGGGUUGAUUCAGCUGAUCUGGCUGGCUAGGCGGGUGACCUCUUCCUCCCUCACUGCUCCAUGUGGGUCCCUCCCGAAGCUGCGUGCUCUGUCGAAGAGGAUGGGCCUUCCCUGAACAGAGACGGACGGGUCUUCGGUCGAGGUAUACGAGUAGCUGCGUUCUCCUGCUAGAACCUCCAAACAAGCUCUCAAGGUCCAUUAUUAAGUCACUAAUAAAACUUUUAAAAAAUUAAAAGAGAACAUAUACUUU